rnacentral:ncRNA from 1 species
UGAUUUGAAAUGAACAAUGCCUGUAGGGUUAUCAGAAUAAAAACAGGUAUAAACUACCUUGAUACCGGAAUAAAACGAUCGGGAAAGCGGUGCCAUAAUCCGUACCGCCUUACCAACCUCAGUCAAAAGUAUAAGUUUUCUUAUUUCACAACUCAUUGGGCAAUAGCCCAGCAUUCCCUGUCGAAAUGCAGAUUAAAUAUGUCAUUAUCACAGGCCAAUGGGAGGUGUUUCACGAAAACCGGGAAAAGCGAAUUUCUGCCUUAUAAACACCGGAAUACAGACCAUUAGCGCCCGAUUUCGAAUAGGUAAAUCCCUACUUUCCAUGACAUAAAUAAAGGACAAAACGCCGAGCCAUCAGUAUGACGGCACAGCGUUUUGUGUUACUGCCUACAUGCAGGUUAAUGCUGUAACGAACGACUUUAAUUC